AGGGGACCUUCGGGCCUUUCGCUAACAGAUGAGCCUGCGUUGGAUUAGCUAGUUGGUGGGGUAAGGGCCCACCAAGGCGACGAUCCAUAGCUGGUCUGAGAGGACGAUCAGCCACACUGGGACUGAGACACGGCCCAGACUCCUACGGGAGGCAGCAGUGAGGAAUAUUGGACAAUGGGCGCAAGCCUGAUCCAGCAAUACCGCGUGUGUGAAGAAGGCCCUAGGGUUGUAAAGCACUUUCAAUUGGGAGGAAAACCCACCGGCCAAUACCCGGUGGCUUGACAUUACCUUUAGAAGAAGCACCGGCUAACUCCGUGCCAGCAGCCGCGGUAAUACGGAGGGUACAAGCGUUAAUCGGAAUUACUGGGCGUAAAGCGUGCGUAGGCGGUUCGUUAAGUCAGAUGUGAAAGCCCCGGGCUCAACCUGGGAACUGCAUUUGAAACUGGCGGACUAGAGUUUAGUAGAGGGGAGUGGAAUUUCAGGUGUAGCGGUGAAAUGCGUAGAUAUCUGAAGGAACACCGGUGGCGAA
rnacentral:rRNA from 1 species